UUUUUUUUUUUUUUUUUUUUUUGUUUUUGUUUUUGUUUUUUAGUACUAAUCCAUAUUUCCACAUUCAUCACAUGCUUAACCCAGAUUCUUCUUCCACCAAAAGCAACCAACGGGCAAAUCCUUGCACGUGAACAAACAACCCAUUUAAAAUCCCAAAGGCCCACAUUUUUUAGUUCCAAUAUUUUAUUUAUUUCAAAGAGGAGUCUGGAAGGGAUUAAUAAGACAACAAUGCCAGCCAAGAAAAAGCGGCUUCAUAAAUACGUUGAGCAUAGGAAAAAUGAUUGAUUUUAAUUUAUUUUUUUUCUAUGAUAUAAAUAAGUUUGAUAGAAAUAAUAAUAACAAUAAAAGAGAAAGAAACCAGAGGCAAACCGACCAUGACAGCCAGGCAACCAGAGUGGAGGAUACAUGAGCGACGUAGGUUGGCAGGCGGCUGUUCUAAGUCCAAACCUAUUAUUUAGGCUUACCGACUACCAAGUUCGAACACCGUAUAACUCAAUAAUUUUCCCUUGUAUGAUGAUGAUAGCGACCUCGAAAACAUGGCAUUAGAUGGACUCCAAACAUUUUUUUUUAAACUUAUACGGCCCGCCCCCCACCCCCCACCCACCACCCUUGACGCACACGACUCCCAUCACACCAUUUGUAAGCUAGGAUGCUUUUAAUUCCACGUUUUAUAGGUAGAGAGGGAUUGUGGUGUGGGACACAUGGUUAAAUGUCAUAAUCAAAUGCAGUGAGUAACGAGAUUAUAACAAACUAUAUUCCAUUUUAUCCUAUACUUUUUUUUAGUAACACUGUUGAUAUGGUAUGGAGUAUUUGUUACAUUGUUAUUUAAUCACUAUUUUUUACCUGGGAUUUUCAAAUCAUCAACUACUCUAAAUCUAUGAGGUUGAGAAUCAGAAUUUAUUGAGAAGACAGAUAAAAAAGACGCAAGAGUCACAAUCACCACUAAGCAAAAGUGAUGGCUCUUUAGGGUUCAAUAAAUCAGAGCCACAUCUGGAAACCCCCCUGCCACCCCAACUCCAUGUUCCACGAGAGAAGGCGAGCCCCCGUCCAACUCAGAGAUAGGGCCACCACCAACCAAAUCAAGAAUAUGCCUACCAUUAUGAUUUGGUCCCACUCAGAUGUGAGCACACACCGUUCCAUGGCCACUCAAACCUCUAGACAAGGGCUAUCAGGUGGUCCCUCCACCCGUGUUCGACAGAUGCACAGCUCUCAGUCAUAUUAUUCCGGAGCCGGGUCUGUAUUACAACAGAAGCCCUCAUUUCUCAGUCAUCCUUGUCUUUGUUUGUGUGCAGUGGAUGCCUUUUCUAUCCAAAGGAAAGAAACAUUUCUUGCGACCACUGCAGCAAGCAAGGCCAGGGAAGUAGAGAUGGAGAGCUAAGGCUGCUCCAAUGAUAAUCAUCAGAAGAUAUCUUAUUGAUAGUAGUGUAUCCAGGAAGGUUUUCCAAUCAAGACACUUCUGAUUUCUGGCUUUCUGCAAACAAUUACAUGUCCUCCUGCUAUAUUGUCUGCUGGAGAUGCAGUUCUAUCUCAAGAAUAGACAAAUAUGCAAUUGAAGGGUUGAUUUCAAUUCUAGUACUGCCAUAUUGUAAGUUCAAAAAGCAAUCAUCAAAAAUGAUUCUGAUGGCCACCAAAAGUCGUGAAUAUGCUUUUACAAGGAUUAUGGCACAAGAAGAUUCUUGACAAGUUCACAAUCAAGGGAUAAAUAGUUUCUAUGAUACACCAAACAAGAAUGAAAUGAUAUAGCAGCCGUUACUAUGUUCAAUAAUAGUCAUGCACGUCAGCAGAAAAACAAUGGGCAAUGGAUGUUAACUAAAGCCUGUUUUUGAAAAACAGAUUGAUUCCAGAAGAAAUAUGAUUCUACUUCUAACCAAGCAUCUCCAAGCUAUCAAAGCUUAGCAACGCAUUAAACAUAUCAAAUCACUUCCUUUCAGAAAUAUUCAACGAGGAAGUUUUCCUUCUAACAUCCAAAUUCCUCAGCCUUUCAUGACUUAGAUUUGAUAGAAAAAAGAAAAUUAAAAAAUAAAUCAAUAAAACAAAACAAGUGGGGAUCCAACAGAACAACUUGAAUGGAGCCACAUCCAACAGACCACAAAAAGGGGAGAAGACGACAAUCCAAUCUAAUAAGAAAAAAAUACAGAUAAGACUUCAAAACUGUGUAUAUGUGGAUGCAUAUCAAGAUAUUUUGCAGCGAAAUGGCUAAAAGGAAAAAGGAAAAAGAAUUAUAAAAAAAAGGACUGUUCCACUUUUAAAGUUUCCUCUCCCUGCAUAAUCAAAGGAAUGAUUAAAAACAAACAAAAUAUGUGUUUCUUCAAUUUCUUUCCUUUUCAUCAAGAAAUAUUCAAAAGAAAUCACAAUAUAAUAAUUCUUUUAAGCCACUACCUGAGUUGAACCAAACCCACUGCAUCCAUUUUGUAGUUGCCAUUUAUAAAACAUAUUUGUAAUAACACCUAAAAAAGGUGUAAUUCUUUACAAUAACAGACACCACCAAAAUAAUAAACAUCAAGAUGCAUAUACCCCCACCCUACAUCUAUUUUUACUAGUUUAGCAUUCCUAAAUUGAACUUUUAAAAAGUACUGUAACACUAGUAUCAUGCUAUCAGCCAACUAUCCCAUCAUAGUUAGCACCAAAUUAAACAUAACAUGCAAGGCUGUGCUACAAUAUAAUGAUUCUUAUCAUCAAUGGCAAAUAAUAUUACAUGGAUUCAAUCACACAUCUUCUUUGCACAACUCUUGUUUAAGUCAUCUUCUAUUGGCAUUAAAUCUUUUUUCCUUUUGUUAUUGAGAAGCUUUUCUUGCUAACAAUCCCACUCUGGUUUUCAUUCUUCCCUUCAUUCAUUCAGCUUUUGCUCCAUUUGGAUCAGGAAAAGUGGGAGGGAAGGGGUGAGAGUGGCAAAAAACAAGAGAGGAAAGGAAAGAAAGAUUGAAGAAAAAAUUAAAAAUUUAAGUUUGAAUUCAGUAAUUUUUCGCCCCCAAUUUUACCCGCUUUCAUGUAUGAAACAAAAAUUCAGAGAAUGUGUAAUCUUUAAUAUAAUCUUCCAUCAUAUUUUCCAUGGAAAACUAGACGAGCGUUUGAGAUUUUUUUCCUUUUCUCCAUUUCCUAAUACUUUCCAAGAUCUGAACCAUAGUAGAUGUCAUAAUAUUAUUACCAGAAGUGGAAGACCAGAUAUAUCUUUUUAAUUUUUGAGAGAGGAGACAAUAAUUUGAAUAAAUUUGAGAGAUUACAGGAAGAGGAAGUUAAGGUGGUGUGAGAAGUUGAGAGAUUGGAAAGCAUGGAAUUGGGAGAUGUUUAGAGAUUCACGGACAUUAAAGUUGGAAUACGGGAAAAGAAAAUUCAACUAAGUUAUUCACAGAAUGAAGAUGGAACACCAAGAACAGAGAAACAUUAUUUUAACAGUUCUAUGACACUAUUAACAGGUUAUUUGAGCAAUUGGCACCCUUUACAUAUUUAUUAAUAUACAUUCUCUUAUUUGCCUAUCAAAAAAAAAACUCGAGCAGUUCUAUGACACUAUUAAAAGGUUAUCUUACAGUAUUUCACAAAGAUGGGACAUCAAAGCAAAAUUGGCUGAUUCUUCUGAAAUAGUAUGAUAACAACAUAUAAUUCCUAAUUAUACAAAAUGGCCAAAUGGUUUAUAACUAGUAUUCUCUAACAUUCAUAAUUUGGCCAGCUGCAUAUCUUAUUUAGCUACUCAAGUGGGGUUGAGUAAUCUCUUCUUAGAAGAUUAGUCCACUAAACCUUUUCAUAGUCCAUGGGCUAUGAUUUAUGGUCUCUAAAGCAAGCUACAACACAAUUGUCUGGGGCUGCAACAUUGGGCAAGCUUGGCCAAAGUAUUUCGAUAGCUCAAGUUGUAUUUGGUUGAUAGACAUCAUCCUUUCACAAACUUAGAUUGAACAUCAACCCGAGCCUGACAUCUGAUAAAUACAUAGAUGAUGCAUGAUGGGUUGAUUUUUAAAUCAUAAAAGAGAAUAGAAGCAUGAAAUCACACAUGUUUCAGAAGGGCCAAAAGGACCAACCCUACUUCUCUUAGAUAUCUUUACACUUAAUUCCGCCUAUGGUCAUGAGACUCUUGACUCUCUCCUUUUGCUCUUGCUGGGAGGCCUUUGCACUUGUUUUACUCUUUCAUUUCUCCUCCACUUGUUUCAAUUUGGUUUUCCGAAAAGUAUUUUCCUGCUUAUUUUCAACAAGAUAAACAAACAAACCAUCAACUAUUCAAUUUAAUUCUUGUUUUUUUCUAUGGAAUCAUUUUGAUAACAGUAGAUCUGCAUACAGUUUUCACCAAUCUGCCAUAGAAGGAGCCGGAAAUUUGAUCGAUCUGAAGAGAAAAACCUGAAUGCAAAUAGCAUCCGUAAAAAAAAAUCUUGAAGUUUAACUCCUAAGAAGCACAGCUAUUUCCGCAGGAUUGGGUAAUUAUGGGCACAUUGAUCCUAUGGAAACACCACAAAAUAUAAUAUUAAAAUAAUAAAUAUAUAAAAGGUGUAGUAUUUAUAGGGUGAAAUUGUUACAUAUUUGCUUCUUCAAAAAUAAAAAUAUUUAGGGAAAUGCAGAGUCAAUACUCAAUAGGAUGAUUCUGUCCACCAAACUGAAAUAUAUUGUAUUAUCUCUAUGACUAUCAUGAAAUAUUAAAAAUAUUAAAUAAAUUGCAUCUCUAUAAUCCUCAUCAAAUACUAGCAAUAUCAAAUAAACUGCAUAAUGGAUUUAAAUAAUUAUUAUAACAAUAUAUGUAUGUGUUUAAAUGGAUCAAUAUAUUUCAAUUACUAAAUUCUCUCUACUUGAUGUCAAAAAUGUUUCCAAUGGAAAAUAUCUUAAACAACACUAUAUAGUAGUAGCAAAUUACCAAACAACAGUAUCUUGAAUACCCAUCUUCCCUCAGUUAAACUUCACUAGCGAGCGGGCUCAUAGAAAUUGUGAUGUUAUAUUUAAUAUUGACUAAUUUGAAUUUUUUUAUGAAAAAAAUAAGUAAAUACUUAAAGCGCCAAAUACUUAAAGCGCCAAAAAGAGGGCAGAGCCUACAACAAUGGGAGCAUAUAAGCUUACCGUAGAGGGAAGGGGAAAGAAAAAAACAGAAGACCCAAAAAGUAUGAAAAUUUGAUAGGUGGAAUAUGUAGGAUUUUAAGUCAGGUAAGAAUCAAAUAGAAAAAUAUGGACAAGGACCAAGGAAGGAUCAAAUCACCUUUCAACUAUUUUUCAAGGAAAACAAGCAUGGGCAAGAAAAUUUCUGCAAUACUCCAUGGAAGAAAACAAGUUGGAGGUGGUAAGUGCCCCAUCACACUCACUUGUCCAUCUUUUUCUUGGUUCUUCUUUCCAAUUCAUUCUCAGCCCUGAAGUUGCCCCAAAAUGCAACAGGUCAUGUAGCUACCUAAGUUUCUCUUCUACUACUCCAUAAGAAAUUAUAGUGCCACGCACAUGCAACAACUGGAAAUCAACCCUUUCCUUACCUGAAAACUCAAAACCAUAACCAUCUUUUAUUCACCAAUCAACCAGAACCAUAAUAUAAAGGAAAGGAGAAGAUGAAUUCUCCCCAAAAAUUCAGCUCGAUACCCUAAGGAGCCACAUUAUUCAAGCGCACCAGAAUAAGAAAUCUAAAAACGAAACACAGUUUCUUCUUCUGUUUCCCAGUGCUUUCCAAAUAUUGAGAUCCAAUGAAAUAAAUAUAAAAACUCAAAAUGAAGAUACGUCACCAUGAAAUUCCUACUUUUUAGACAUGUAUCAGUAAGUUUUAUGAACAUCAAGAAGAGGAAAACAAAAGCACACUUAGCUUCGUGGACAAAUGCGUUAUCCCUGACCUUAAAUACACUGGCAAUCCAUUAAACUCAAUGCACAUAAAACACCACGUCGACUCAGAAUGAAAUCCAAGAUACCAGUAAACCAAAAAAAGAAUGCAUCAUUUUGUAAUCAAAAUUCAAAACAAAACUUAUGUGUGCAAUAUCAUCCAACUACAAACCCAUAAGAAACAUCUAAUAAUAUAACAAAACAAAGCUUCAAAUCUAAAGAUACAUAAACUUCCAAGUAAGUCCCUCAUUCCAAUUUAUGAAACUUGGACAAAAGAAGCAAACCGUAGCAAUCCGAAAACGCUCAAUCUUCUGGAACC
rnacentral:lncRNA from 1 species